rnacentral:miRNA from 1 species
AAAUGCCUCAUCCUUGGGA